rnacentral:lncRNA from 1 species
CCUCCUUAUUCCGGAGCAGCUGCGACAAUGGCGGCCACACCACUUCCCUGUUGCGACCGCACAACUUGGGAGUGGGGAAUCCGGGGCCCCGCGAAAGACAUGGGGCGCAGUCCGCGCGUGGGGAGCCCACAUUCGCAUUUCGCAGCCAAUGAGCCGCCGGAUGCAGCGAGCCCUCAGCAUUCUCUCCUAAACAAAAGCUCCCCUGAGCUGUGCCCGCCAGCGACGGGCCACCUUCCCUUCCACCAUCCUCCACUUCUCCAGGUCGCGGCGCGGGCGCGAGGCUCUCUUCCUUGGCCCGCAGCAGCCCCGGCGGCGCGACGAGCUCGGGAGCGGGCAUGCGGCCGGUUCCGCAGCCCCGCGCCGCGCCGCGCCCUGCUCCGCCCGCGAGCCCCGAGCUCGCGCCCCGCGCACUCCGCGGCCUGCGCGUCUGGUCCUCCCGCGCCCUCCCGCGGCCAAGGGCGGGGGCGGCGCGCGGCCGGCUCCCCGGAGCUCGGCGGACGCAGGCGGGGGAGCGUGCGCGGGGGGUCCCGUCGGCUCCGGGGGAAACCACAGCUGCGAGGGGCGGCGCCCCGCGGGCCGCGCUCGGGCCCGGCUCGGCCGUCCCCACCCCCACCGCGGUGCACUGCGGCGCGGAGAGCCAGGCGGCCAUGAACUCGGCCGCGGAGAGAGAGCGCGCGCGCGGGGCCGCCGCCUGGCCUCUUCCCCACCCGCUCGCUGGCCUGCGCAGCCACCGGGGACGCCCGGCCCCCCACGCCCAACCGCGGCCCACGCCCCGAUCCCGCUCGCACCGCGCUGCGCCGCCACAUCCUGCAGCUGGCUGCUGCCCCGGAGCUCGGCGGGAACGCGCCUCCUCGCAGCCGCCCCGGCCGCGCCCGCCGCCGGCUGCCCCCGCGUCCCCGCGCCCGUCCCCGGCCCUUCCAGCACCCGGCCCGCGCUUACCUGCAGCUUGGCACCGCUACAGACGCUCGCUGUCGCUGUGGGCUCCCUCGCUCGGCAGCGCGCAAGCCAGGGACGGGAUGGACGCGGGGGCACGGUACAUCCCUCUCUAGCCAUCAUGUUUCCAGAACUAGGUUGCACUUGAUGCUCCCAUGGAGAGAUCUGAUAGCCUGGUAAUGUCAGGACAUCCAU